AAGGCUUGCCUUUACCAGCCGGCGACCGGCGCACGGGUGAGUAACACGUAUGCAACCUGCCUGCCACUGCCGGAUAAUCGGGAGAAAUUCCGUCUAAUACGGCAUAAUGCAUCGACGGGACAUCCUGUUGGUGCCAAAGGUUGAUUCCGGUGGCGGAUGGGCAUGCGUCGCAUUAGUUAGUUGGCGGUGUAACGGACCACCAAGACGACGAUGCGUAGGGGUUCUGAGAGGAAGGUCCCCCACACUGGUACUGAGACACGGACCAGACUCCUACGGGAGGCAGCAGUGAGGAAUAUUGGUCAAUGGGCGGGAGCCUGAACCAGCCAAGUCGCGUGAGGGAUGACGGCCCUAUGGGUUGUAAACCUCUUUUGCCGGGGGGCAAAGUGCCGCACGUGUGCGGUUUGGAGAGUACCCGGAGAAAAAGCAUCGGCUAACUCCGUGCCAGCAGCCGCGGUAAUACGGAGGAUGCGAGCGUUAUCCGGAUUUAUUGGGUUUAAAGGGUGCGUAGGCGGACGCUUAAGUCAGCGGUAAAAUUGCGGGGCUCAACCUCGUCGAGCCGUUGAAACUGGGUGCCUUGAGUGGGCGAGAAGUACGCGGAAUGCGUGGUGUAGCGGUGAAAUGCAUAGAUAUCACGCAGAACUCCGAUUGCGAAGGCAGCGUACCGGCGCCCAACUGACGCUGAAGCACGAAGGCGUGGGUAUCGAACAGGAUUAGAUACCCUGGUAGUCCACGCAGUAAACGAUGAAUGCUAGUUGUCCGGGGCGAUUGAGUUCUGGGUGACACAGCGAAAGCGUUAAGCAUUCCACCUGGGGAGUACGCCGGCAACGGCGAAACUCAAAGGAAUUGACGGGGGCCCGCACAAGCGGAGGAACAUGUGGUUUAAUUCGAUGAUACGCGAGGAACCUUACCCGGGCUCAAACGCAGGAGGGAUGUUUUUGAAAGGAGGCAGCCAGCAAUGGUCUCCUGCGAGGUGCUGCAUGGUUGUCGUCAGCUCGUGCCGUGAGGUGUCGGCUUAAGUGCCAUAACGAGCGCAACCCCUACCUACAGUUGCCAUCGCGUGAUGGCGGGCACUCUGUGGGGACUGCCUGCGCAAGCAGUGAGGAAGGCGGGGAUGACGUCAAAUCAGCACGGCCCUUACGUCCGGGGCGACACACGUGUUACAAUGGCAGGUACAGCGGGAAGCCACCCGGCGACGGGGCGCGGAACCCGAAAACCUGUCUCAGUUCGGAUUGGAGUCUGCAACCCGACUCCAUGAAGCUGGAUUCGCUAGUAAUCGAGCAUCAGCCACGGCGCGGUGAAUACGUUCCCGGGC
rnacentral:rRNA from 1 species